CAGGCUUAACACAUGCAAGUCGAGCGGAGAGAGGUAGCUUGCUACUGAUCUUAGCGGCGGACGGGUGAGUAAUACUUAGGAAUCUGGCUAUUAGUGGGGGACAACAUUUCGAAAGGGAUGCUAAUACCGCAUACGUCCUACGGGAGAAAGCAGGGGAUCUUCGGACCUUGCGCUAAUAGAUGAGCCUAAGUCGGAUUAGCUAGUUGGUGGGGUAAAGGCCUACCAAGGCGACGAUCUGUAGCGGGUCUGAGAGGAUGAUCCGCCACACUGGGACUGAGACACGGCCCAGACUCCUACGGGAGGCAGCAGUGGGGAAUAUUGGACAAUGGGGGGAACCCUGAUCCAGCCAUGCCGCGUGUGUGAAGAAGGCCUUAUGGUUGUAAAGCACUUUAAGCGAGGAGGAGGGUACUGGUAUUAAUACUACCAGGUACUGGACGUUA
rnacentral:rRNA from 1 species